rnacentral:rRNA from 1 species
UACGGAGGGUGCAAGCGUUGUCCGGAUUCACUGGGUGUAAAGGGUGUGUAGGCGGAGCAGCAAGUCAGUGGUGAAAACCUGCGGCUUAACCGUAGAAUUGCCAUAGAUACUGCUGUUCUUGAGUACUGGAGAGGGUGCUAGAAUUCGUGGUGUAGCGGUGAAAUGCGUAGAUAUCACGAGGAAUACCAGAGGCGUAGGCGGGUAGCUGGUCAGAUACUGACGCUGAGGCACGAAAGCGUGGGGAGCAAACAGG